rfam:Staphylococcus pseudintermedius strain 063228, complete genome.
CAUGUAAUAAUUUAUCACGCUCAUAUAAUCUGAAGAAUAUGGCUUUAGAAGUUUCUACCAUGUUGCCUUAAACGACAUGACUAUGAGUAAUGGGACAUCUAUG